GACGAACGCUGGCGGCGUGCUUAACACAUGCAAGUCGAGCGGUAAGGCCCUUUCGGGGUACGACGAGCGGCGAACGGGUGAGUAACACGUGGGUGACCUGCCUCAGCUCUGGGAUAAGCCUGGGAAACCGGGGUACUAAUACUGGAUAUGACUCCAUGACGCAUGUUGUGGGGUGGAAAGCCUUGUGCGGCUGAGGAUGGGCCCGCGGCCUAUCAGCUUGUUGGUGGGGUGANGGCCUACCAAGGCGACGACGGGUAGCCGGCCUGAGAGGGCGACCGGCCACACUGGGACUGAGACACGGCCCAGACUCCUACGGGAGGCA
rnacentral:rRNA from 1 species